UGGGGUGUGGCUCAGUGGUAAAGAGCUUUUCUGGCAUGCCCAGAAGCCCUGGGUUUGAUCCCCAGCACUGCAA
rnacentral:tRNA from 1 species